GUUUGGGGUUUCUUUGCUCUUGUUUUCUUAGCAUUAGUGGCUGGCUCCUGGGAGCUCGCUGCAGACAGCCGCGCUGACAGCACUGGGCUUUGGUGUGGUGCUGGUGCUCCGUGCACAAAUUGAAAACUGGGAUGAGGAUAAGGCUUGGCUCAUGCCCCUCGUGGAGCUGCAUGUGCAGGUUCCAAGUGAAUAAGAGUGGUCUCCAUCUGUUAAUCCACUUGGUGAGAAGAGAGGGACAGCUUCGAUGGCAUUCCCUUAUGUGGCUGCAGAGGAUGCUGUCACUCACCUUGUCAGGCGCUCCUGAAUUUCAUCACAAUUCAUCAAACCCCCAGGUUGCUCAGUCAGCUCCACAGCAGACUGUGUGUUUUCAGCCUGAAUUAUGUACAGGAAGCAGCCAGAUCACACAAGUCAUUCCUGGAAACUGCAGAGCUCAUAAACAAUGACAGAACUGAAUGGCAAUUUAUGAAGAGACCUUGUGAGUUACCGAGGAUCCCUAAAAUGGAAAGCUGCGCUGUAUUAGUGGCAUAAUAAAACAGCUUUAUAAGAAACUAUCCA
rnacentral:lncRNA from 1 species